rnacentral:rRNA from 1 species
CCUACGGGAGGCAGCAGUGAGGAAUAUUGGUCAAUGGGCGCGAGCCUGAACCAGCCAAGUAGCGUGAAGGAUGACUGCCCUACGGGUUGUAAACUUCUUUUAUAAAGGAAUAAAGUGAGGCACGUGUGCCUUUUUGUAUGUACUUUAUGAAUAAGGAUCGGCUAACUCCGUGCCAGCAGCCGCGGUAAUACGGAGGAUCCGAGCGUUGUCCGGAUUUAUUGGGUUUAAAGGGAGCGUAGAUGGGUUGUUAAGUCAGUUGUGAAAGUUUGCGGCUCAACCGUAAAAUUGCAAUUGAUACUGGCAGACUUGAGUACAGUUGAGGUAGGCGGAAUUCGCGGUGUAGCGGUGAAAUGCUUAGAUAUCACGAAGAACUCUGAUUGCGAAGGCAGGUUACUAAACAGUAACUGACACUGAUGCACGAAAGUGUGGGUAGCAAAAAGGAUUAGAUACCCCUGUAGUC